rnacentral:lncRNA from 1 species
CAUGAUGAUGCCUACCUUCCCCUCAGUCUUUUAUAGUGUCAGAUAGGCCAAGAGAAUCACAAAAGGCUACAAGUCACAUCAUGGGUUCCAUCUUUCUUAUGAUAUUCACAGUAACAGCAGGUGUACUGGCCAUCUCAGAGGAAAUAGCUGUCUACCCCGCCAUGCUUUUUGGAUCAAAGUCUCAAGUUAGAAAGGGAGAUACUAUAGUUUUGAAGUGUAAGAUCUCUGGCAUCAAAAGAUCCUGGGACAAGGUUCAUGUGUACAUUUGCAAGAAUGGAGUUGGGAUGAAAAUGAAGGUUCUGGAGAAAGGGGCAGGUGAUACCAUUUUCACCAUGAAGGAUGUUACAAGAAAUGACUCAGGCACCUACAGCUGUGUCUACACCAGAGAUAAACUCGCACCCAGUCAGGUGUUCUCAACAGGCAAGGAUUUAGUAGCCAUCCAGGUCAACGAAGAGGCUGCACAUGAUGUGAUACUGGUCAAUGUAAUCCGACUGAUAAGUUCAGCUGUUGUGGUCAUACUUCUGCUGACUGUAGUGGCUGUUAGUUCAUGCUGUUCAAAAACAGAGAAAAGAGCCAAGCAGCGACUGCCCAAGGAAGAUACUUGAGGCACUGAAGCUAAAAAGGACUACUACAGUAUGUACUGUAAUCUGCCAACCUGGUCCAAUGGUACAAUUUGACGGUGACCCCAAGGGGCAAGUUUGCUUUACAGGGACAGCCUUUUGUCGAGAAAAUGUGGGAAAUGAAUGAGCAACCUACAAUCAAUAACCAAUGAUACUUUUCUCAAUGGUUAUUUGUAGUACUGUUUUUGGCUUUAUCUGCUAUACAUGUGUUGUAACAUUACCUGAUGCUAUGGGGUAGUGACGUUCACUGUAAAGGAAUUAAUUCAGAAUAUAUUGACAGAAUGCUUAAGAAUGUAUAUAGUUUGUUUAUUGGUAUAAUUAAGCAAUAAGGCACUAGGGUGUGUGGUUUAUGGCCAAUAUACCACGGCUAAGGGCUGUUAUUAUGAAUACCAUAUAGCCAUAUAUCACAAAUCCCUGAGGUGACUUAUUUCUAUUAUAAACUGGCUACCGGUGUAAUUAGAGCAGUAAAAAUAAAUGUUUUGUCAUA